rnacentral:tRNA from 1 species
GGAGAGAUGGCCGAGUGGAUUAAAGCGGCGGAUUGCUAAUCCGUUAUACAAAUUAUUUGUAUCGAGGGUUCGAAUCCCUCUCUCUCCU